rnacentral:tRNA from 1 species
GGGGUUGUGGCUCAGUGGUAGAGCGCUCACCUAGCAAGUGCAAGGCCCUGGGUUCGAUCCUCAGUACCA